UACGUAGGGGGCGAGCGUUGUCCGGAUUCAUUGGGCGUAAAGAGCUCGUAGGCGGCUUGGUAAGUCGGGUGUGAAACCUCCAGGCUCAACCUGGAGACGCCACUCGAUACUGCCAUGGCUAGAGUCCGGUAGGGGCCCACGGAAUUCCUGGUGUAGCGGUGAAAUGCGCAGAUAUCAGGAGGAACACCGGUGGCGAAGGCGGUGGGCUGGGCCGGAACUGACACUGAGGAACGAAAGCCAGGGGAGCAAACGGG
rnacentral:rRNA from 1 species